rnacentral:rRNA from 1 species
GACGAACGCUGGCGGCGUGCUUAACACAUGCAAGUCGAACGGAAAGGCCCCUUUGGGGGUACUCUAGUGGCGAACGGGUGAGUAACACGUGCGUAACCUGCCCUUGACUUCGGGAUAACUUCAGGAAACUGGGGCUAAUACCGGAUAGGAAUCCUUGCUGCAUGGGGGGGGUUGGAAAGCUUCGGCGGUUUUUGAUGGACUCGCGGCUUAUCAGCUUGUUGGUGGGGUAGUGGCUUACCAAGGCUUCGACGGGUAGCCGGCCUGAGAGGGCGACCGGCCACAUUGGGACUGAGAUACGGCCGAGACUGCUACGGGAGGCAGCUGUGGGGAAUAUUGAACAAUCGGCGGAGGCCUGAUGCAGAAACGCCGCGGGCGGGAUGACGGCCUUCGGGUUGAAAACCGCUUUCAGCAGGGGCGAAGCUUGUGGUGACGGUACCUGCAGAAGAAGCACCGGCUAACUACGUG